GGUAAGAGAAGUGUUUUGAAAUAUGAGAACAGUGUUCGCUCGUUAGCAGUAAAGUGGUGCUUACAUUAGACGAUCGCGAUUGCACUGGAUCUGAAGAAAAUAGGAAACAGAAAAAAGUUAAUUCACUCGAGAGAAACCAAAAGAGAGAUUUUUAUUUUUUCCAUCCGGGAUUGUUCUGUUUACUCACUAUUUUUCUUGGUUGGGUUUUUUUUUUGUUGGUUUCUUUUCUUUUCUCUCUCUCUUCUUUGUUUAUUGAUGUUCCUGAGAGCAAUG